CCUACGGGUGGCUGCAGUCGAGAAUCAUUCACAAUGGGGGAAACCCUGAUGGUGCGACGCCGCGUGGGGGAAUGAAGGUCUUCGGAUUGUAAACCCCUGUCAUGUGGGUGCAAAUUAAAAAGAUAGUACCACAAGAGGAAGAGACGGCUAACUCUGUGCCAGCAGCCGCGGUAAUACAGAGGUCUCAAGCGUUGUUCGGAAUCACUGGGCGUAAGGCGUGCGUAGGCUGUUUCGUAAGUCGUGUGUGAAAGGCGCGGGCUCAACCCGCGGACGGCACAUGAUACUGCGAGACUAGAGUAAUGGAGGGGGAACCGGAAUUCUCGGUGUAGCAGUGAAAUGCGUAGAUAUCGAGAGGAACACUCGUGGCGAAGGCGGGUUCCUGGACAUUAACUGACGCUGAGGCACGAAGGCCAGGGGAGCGAAAGGGAUUAGAUACCCCAGUAGUC
rnacentral:rRNA from 1 species